rnacentral:miRNA from 1 species
CUUGUGGGUAAUAGGCUUUCCUUCCUUG